UACGUAGGAGACGAGCGUUGUCCGGAAUUACUGGGCGUAAAGCGCGUGUAGGCGGAUGAGCAAGUCUGCUGUGAAAGCUCCUGGCUUAACCGGGAGUGGUCGGUGGAAACUGCUCGUCUGGAGGACGGUAGAGGUAGGUAGAAUUCCCGGUGUAGUGGUGAAAUGCGUAGAGAUCGGGAGGAAUACCUGUGGCGAAGGCGGCCUACUGGGCCGGACCUGACGCUGAGACGCGAAGGCGUGGGGAGCGAUCAGG
rnacentral:rRNA from 1 species